rnacentral:lncRNA from 1 species
CGGGCGGCGCCAAUGAGCGGGAGGCGGCCGUGCCCCUCGCCCCGGCUCCCGGUCCACGUCUCCCACGGUGACGGCGCCGACCAAAGAGUCUCCACUAAUCAGGCCCGGGCGCCGCAGCGAUCGCCAGCACGUGCAUCACGCCUUUUAAUCUAGUACAAGUUUCUGCAAAAAUGACUGAAGGGGAAACCGCUUUCUGUUGUAUUUUGUUGGAGGCAGCUUUGUACCGACUCCGCCUGAAGAACCACCUUACUGCAUCUGCCACUCUCACCCAGCAUGUGUGAGCUCUCCUCUGUGGUCCCCUCACUAUGCCCUUUGAGAGCACCACAUCUGGCUAGUCUUAAAAGGGAGAAAAAAAAAAAAAAAAAUCUGUGCCAGGGCCCUUCUUUCAACAAGAUCAUACAUUAAACAAAUGCCCCCUGUUUCUUUCUGUUUAGCUUCACUCCUACCACAGGUGCUACCAACAAUUGCUCUGGGUUGUCCUGCUUUGGAAUUUUCUUUCCACUGUGGUUGGUAGUGCUGGAUGCGCUUUACACCUUAGGCUUCUCAGAUGUUGUGAUAUGUUGUGUCUUUAAAAAAAAAAAAAAAAAAAAGGUAUUUCUAUUUUUUUUUCCCCUAAGCUGUUAACCUGAUAAAAUAUUUCGCAAUGGUUCUAACCACUUUCUAGCUAAAGAAACAUUUUAGUGCUGUGAAGACCGCUGUCAGGGAUCCUGAGUUGUUACCAUUUACUCUACAGCCCUAAAUUCAGUUGGUUAGGAUUUUCAUUUGGCGAAAACGGGCAAAAUGAGCUCUUUGCUACUAGUCAGGUGAUGGAACGUCGUUCAGGAAGUAAUUUUGUUUCUUGCCAAUAUUUCUAUGCCAAUAAUUAAAGAGUAGUUCCUUGUCUUUACAUCGUGUUUAUCUACAAUAGUGCUGACCUCUCCAUAUCUCCUCUACUCGUGGUAACAGGAGCUACAUUUGCUAACGCUGCAAAAGGGAAACAUUUAUUAGGUCCCCUUCUUAAAUAAAUUCAAAAGUGUAUAAACUGUGUAUAGGUUUUUCAGCACGUAGGAAAACAGUG